rnacentral:tRNA from 1 species
GCCACUGUGGUGUAGUGGUUUGAGUGUUGGACUACAACUCUGGAGACCAGGGUUCGAUUCCCAGCCCAGCCA